rnacentral:rRNA from 1 species
CCUACGGGGGGCAGCAGUGGGGAAUAUUGGACAAUGGGGGCAACCCUGAUCCAGCCAUGCCGCGUGUGUGAAGAAGGCCCUCGGGUUGUAAAGCACUUUCAGUGAGGAAGAACGCCUGGUGGUUAAUACCCAUCAGGAAAGACAUCACUCACAGAAGAAGCACCGGCUAACUCCGUGCCAGCAGCCGCGGUAAUACGGAGGGUGCGAGCGUUAAUCGGAAUUACUGGGCGUAAAGCGCGCGUAGGUGGCUUGAUAAGCCGGUUGUGAAAGCCCCGGGCUCAACCUGGGAACGGCAUCCGGAACUGUCUAGCUAGAGUGCAGGAGAGGAAGGUAGAAUUCCCGGUGUAGCGGUGAAAUGCGUAGAGAUCGGGAGGAAUACCAGUGGCGAAGGCGGCCUUCUGGACUGACACUGACACUGAGGUGCGAAAGCGUGGGUAGCAAACAGGAUUAGAUACCCUGGUAGUC